rnacentral:tRNA from 1 species
GCCUGGGUUGCUCAGUUGGUUGAGCAUCUGACUUCAGCUCAGGUCAUGAUCUCACACUCCGUGAGUUCAAGCCCCGCGUUGGGCU